UCCAACAAUGCCCCCCCUAAAAGAAGUUAUGCUUCAACAAAGGUGAAGCAACUGGACAAUUGGAAGAAGUUGAGGUCUGUCCUUGUUGAUGCCUUUUUGGAAUCCCUUGCCCCAAGUUCUUGUUGUUCUGUGUGCAGAGUUGAAUUUUCCGGCAGCAAGGUCUUCCAUUGUGAGGAUUGUCUACCACCAAAAUAUUUCUGCGAAAGCUGUCUUGAUGUUACCCACAGACAACAACCUUUUCACAGAGUCUAUACUUGGAAGGAAAAAGCUUGGGUUCCAUAUUCUGCAACUAUAUAUCUUCGGGAUGAUGAACGUCAUAAGGAAUGUUUGGAAUCCUAUAACAAGCAUGUGAUUGUUGUCGACUCCAAAGGACGCCACCUGUUGUCAAAUUCUGCAAAUGCGAAGAGGAGCCGACAACACUUAUCCACCUCCGUCUUUGGCCAGCUUCUCCAAAAAAUCCAAAGAUCUGCUUUGAUUUCCAUCUGAUGGAAAUGCUUCGAGUCCUGUAUCUUCAAGUUCCAGUCCCUGUGUUUGAUUUUUGUGAGUCACUGAAGUAUAUACAUCAUCCUUAUGUUGAAAUAAAUGAUCCGUUUUUUGCAGGAUAUCUAAUGAAACUUUCGAAGAAUACCGUUUCUUUAUUCAUCAGUUGGAGGUUAUGUCGGCUCCUGAGGAUAUAAAAUGUCCUGCGUG